rnacentral:rRNA from 1 species
CAGUAGCCGCGGUAAUACGGAGGGGGCUAGCGUUGUUCGGAAUUACUGGGCGUAAAGCGCACGUAGGCGGCUUGGUAAGUUAGAGGUGAAAGCCUGGAGCUCAACUCCAGAAUUGCCUUUAAGACUGCCGAGCUAGCAGGUGAGAGAGGUAAGUGGAAUUCCGAGUGUAGAGGUGAAAUUCGUAGAUAUUCGGAAGAACACCAGUGGCGAAGGCGGCUUACUGGCUCAUACUGGACGCUGAGGUGCGAAAGCGUGGGGAGCAAACAGGAUUAGAUACCCCAGUAGUACCUGUCUCUUAUAC